rnacentral:rRNA from 1 species
UACGAAGGGGGCUAGCGUUGCUCGGAAUCACUGGGCGUAAAGGGUGCGUAGGCGGGUCUUUAAGUCAGGGGGGAAAUCCUGGAGCUCAACUCCAGAACUGCCUUCGAUACUGGAGAGCUCGAGUCCGGGAGAGGUGAGUGGAACUGCGAGUGUAGAGGUGAAAUUCGUAGAUAUUCGCAAGAACACCAGUGGCGAAGGCGGCUCACUGGCCCGAUACUGACGCUGAGGCACGAAAGCGUGGGGAGCAAACAGG